UAGAAAUAAAUUAUUUAAGUAACGAAUAUUUAUUUUUAUACGUUUUAAAUAUUUCAACGAUUUAUGAAAUUAAAAUAAGUUUAGAAUUUUAUGUUGAAAAGAAAUUGAAUUACGAAAACCGUUUGAAUUUUGAAAACAAUCCUAAUUGGUUUUGGAUUCAAACACUUAAACUCAACCUUAGUUCUAGCCCAAGUUGAUAAAGCCCAAAUAAUAAGACCCAAAACACUUUACUCCUUUCCUCUCUUUCAAUGUUACGUAAAAGCAAAAACAACAAAAACUUCUCUGCUUCACUUUCACGUGAACCAUAACCCUUAACCUCUUCCCCCUUUGCUCAGCCGCCAGCCGGCAGCCACGCUGGACCACCGUCACUACACCGACCUCCUGCCACCAUCCCCUCCGCCGUCGCGCACGCAACCACCACCUGUACCACCACCUGCUCCCGCCGACUUCCCAUCGCCACAACCCAGCCGUCGACCAACCUCCUCCCUUCUCCUUUACAUACACAAGAAAUCUCCCCUCCUAUUUUCUUUGUUGCUCCGCACGCAGCUACCAGUCGUGCUGCACCACCCGUCGCGCCACCAAGAGUGUUGAACCACCGACGUACCCACCGUCUGCUGCCGCCACUGUCGCCGGCCAGCAGCUUCCUUCUUCCUCACUUUUGGUGGAGAAUUCUCUUUAGGCAACUUUUGAAAGUGUUAAGGUGACGUAUCAGUUUGUUUACACAAGUCUCUAAGGAUCAAUAAGCGUUGCCCAUCUACAGGUUUGAAGAUGAUGCAUCAUUGGGACGGGAUUAGAGAGCUUGUAGUUCUAUUCGUUUAAUUAAGUGAUUUAAUUUGUUAACUUGGUUUUGAAAUUUGUCGUACUAUUCGUAUUUCCUUAAUUCAGUUAAUUGGUUUGGACCUAAUAUGUAAUAGAUUAUUUAUGAACCUAAAAGUUAGUUUCAUGUUUUCCGCUGCAAAAUUCUGAAUAAGCCGUAACGUUUUCACACGGGCGAUAAUACUUUGAUAAUUCCCUACAGUUAUAUUUAA